rnacentral:rRNA from 1 species
GCCCAGACUCCUACGGGAGGCAGCAGUGGGGAAUAUUGCACAAUGGGGGGAACCCUGAUGCAGCGACGCCGCGUGGGUGAAGGAGCACCUCGGUGCGUAAAGCCCUAUCGGCAGGGAAGAAAAGCGAACAGGUUCGCCUGGACGGUACCUGACUAAGAAGCCCCGGCUAACUACGUGCCAGCAGCCGCGGGAAUACGUAGGGGGGAAGCGUUAUCCGGAUUCACUGGGGGUAAAGGGAGCGUAGACGGCCAUGCAAGCCAGGGGUGGAAGCCCGGGGCCCAACCCCGGGACUGCCCUUGGAACUGCGUGGCUGGAGUGCGGGAGGGGCAGGCGGAAUUCCUGGUGUAGCGGUGAAAUGCGUAGAUAUCAGGAGGAACACCGGCGGCGAAGGCGGCCUGCUGGGCCGCGACUGACGUUGAGGCUCGAAAGCGUGGGGAGCGAACAGGAUUAGAUACCCCGGUAGCC